UCAUGGCAAGCGUUGUCCGGCCUCUGAGCUUGAUCCUGGCUCAGGACGAACGCUGGCGGCGUGCCUAAUACAUGCAAGUCGAACGCUUUUUCUUUCACCGGAGCUUGCUCCACCGAAAGAAAAAGAGUGGCGAACGGGUGAGUAACACGUGGGUAACCUGCCCAUCAGAAGGGGAUAACACUUGGAAACAGGUGCUAAUACCGUAUAACACUAUUUUCCGCAUGGAAGAAAGUUGAAAGGCGCUUUUGCGUCACUGAUGGAUGGACCCGCGGUGCAUUAGCUAGUUGGUGAGGUAACGGCUCACCAAGGCAACGAUGCAUAGCCGACCUGAGAGGGUGAUCGGCCACACUGGGACUGAGACACGGCCCAGACUCCUACGGGAGGCAGCAGUAGGGAAUCUUCGGCAAUGGACGAAAGUCUGACCGAGCAACGCCGCGUGAGUGAAGAAGGUUUUCGGAUCGUAAAACUCUGUUGUUAGAGAAGAACAAGGAUGAGAGUAAGAACGUUCAUCCCUUGACGGUAUCUAACCAGAAAGCCA
rnacentral:rRNA from 1 species